rnacentral:tRNA from 1 species
GCCGUUGUAGCUUAGGGGUAGAGCACUCCCUUGGUAAGGGAGAGGUCGCAAGUUCGAUUCUCGUCAACGGCACCA